GGGAUAAUCGGGAGAAAUCCCGUUUAAUACCGCGUAACGCCGCGGGGCUGCAUGGCCCUGCGGCCAAAGGGAGCGAUUCCGGCAACGGAUGGGCAUGCGUGACAUUAGCUAGUUGGCGGGGCAACGGCCCACCAAGGCGACGAUGUCUAGGGGUUCUGAGAGGAAGGUCCCCCACACUGGUACUGAGACACGGACCAGACUCCUACGGGAGGCAGCAGUGAGGAAUAUUGGUCAAUGGGCGCGAGCCUGAACCAGCCAAGUCGCGUGAGGGAUGACGGCCCUACGGGUUGUAAACCUCUUUUGUCGGGGAGCAAAUUCCGCCACGUGUGGCGGAGUCGAGAGUACCCGAAGAAAAAGCAUCGGCUAACUCCGUGCCAGCAGCCGCGGUAAUACGGAGGAUGCGAGCGUUAUCCGGAUUUAUUGGGUUUAAAGGGUGCGUAGGCGGACUGUCAAGUCAGCGGUAAAAUACGGGGGCUCAACCUCCGCCCGCCGUUGAAACUGACGGUCUUGAGUGGGCGAGAAGUAUGCGGAAUGCGUGGUGUAGCGGUGAAAUGCAUAGAUAUCACGCAGAACUCCGAUUGCGAAGGCAGCAUACCGGCGCCCAACUGACGCUGAAGCACGAAAGUGUGGGUAUCGAACAGGAUUAGAUACCCUGGUAGUCCACGCAGUAAACGAUGCAUAAUAGCUGUCCGGG
rnacentral:rRNA from 1 species